GCAGUGGUAUCGAAGUGGUCAUAACGAGCACGAUUGGAAAUCGUGUAGCCGUUAACCCGGCUCGAGGGUUCGAAUCCCUCCCACUGCG
rnacentral:tRNA from 1 species